rnacentral:rRNA from 1 species
GGGCCCGCACAAGCGGUGGAUUAUGUGGUUUAAUUCGAAGCAACGCGCAGAACCUUACCCGGGCUUGAAAUCCUGAGAAUUUGGCUUAAAGGCCGAAGUGCCCUUCGGGGAAUUCAGUGACAGGCGCUGCAUGGCUGUCGUCAGCUCGUGUCGUGAGAUGUUGGGUUAAGUCUCGCAACGAGCGCAACCCCCUAUCCUUAGUUGCCAGCAUUAAGUUGGGCACUCUAGGGAGACUGCCUGGGUUAACCAGGAGGAAGGUGGGGAUGACGUCAAGUCCUCAUGGCCCUUAUGUCCGGGCUACACACGUAAUACAAUGGUGCAUACAAAGGGAAGCGACCCUGCGAAGGUGAGC